AACGUAGGAGGCAAACGUUAUCCGGAGUUACUGGGCGUAAAGGGCGUGUAGGUGGUUUCGUAAGUCUGGCGUGAAAUUUCUCGGCUUAACCGAGGCAGGGCGUCGGAUACUGCGGAACUUGAGGACGGUAGAGGCGUGUGGAAUUCCGGGUGUAGUGGUGAAAUGCGUAGAGAUCCGGAGGAACACCAGUGGCGAAGGCGACGCGCUGGGCCGUACCUGACACUGAUGCGCGACAGCAUGGGGAGCAAACAGG
rnacentral:rRNA from 1 species